ensembl:misc_RNA Metazoa_SRP Metazoan signal recognition particle RNA
GCCGGGCGUGGUGGCGCAUGCCUGUAAUCCCAGCUACUCAGGUGGCUGAAGCAGGGGAAUCACUUGAACCCGGGAGGCGGAGGUUGCAGUGAGCUGAGAUCAUACCACUGCACCCCACCCUGGGUGACAGAGUGAGACCCUGUCUCGG